rnacentral:RNase_P_RNA from 1 species
CGGGCCGGGCAGGUGACCGCUGAGGGUGCCUGCCACCUCCAGAGGAAAGUCCGGGCUCCACAGGGCAGGAUGGUCGCUAACCGCGACCGGGGGAGACCCCAGGGAAAGUGCCACAGAAAACAGUCCACCGCCCUCACUCCGUGCCUUCGGGCACCGGAGCCGGCGGCCAGGGUGAAAAGGUGGGGUAAGAGCCCACCGGCUCGACGGUGACGCCGAGCGCAUGGCAAACCCCAUCCGGAGCAAGGCCAAGUAGGGGUGAACCGGCAUGUCCGGAACGGGUGGCCCGCCCGUCACGCCCCGGGUAGAGCCGCUCGAGGCCGUCGGCAACGGCGGCCCCAGAUGAAUGGUCACCACCUCCGCCCCGGCGAAGGAACAGAACCCGGCUUAUCGCCCGGCCCGCACU